GGGUGCUCUCUGUGUUAGGGAGGUUCUGUAUUAGGGUGCUCUCUGUAUUAGGGAGGUUCUGUAUUAGGGAGGGUGCUCUCUGUAUUAGGGUGCUCUCUGUGUUAGGGUGCUCUCUGUAUUAGGGAGGUUCUGUAUUAGGGAGGUUCUGUGUUAGGGUGCUCUCUGUAUUAGGGAGGGUGCUUUCUGUAUUAUAGUGCUCUCUGUAUUAGGAAGGUUCUGUAUUAUGGUGCUCUCUCUAUUAGGGUGCUCUCUGUAUUAGGGAGGGUGCUCUCUGUAUUAUAGUGCUCUCUGUAUUAGGGAGGUUCUGUAUUAGGGUGCUCUCUGUAUUAGGGAGGUUCUGUAUUAGGGUGCUCUAUGUAUGAGGGUGCUCUCUGUAUUAGGGAGGUUCUGUAUUAGGGUGCUCUCUGUAUUAGGGAGGUUCUGUAUUAGGGUGCUCUCUGUAUUAGGGAGGUUUUUUAUUAGGGUGCUCUCUGUAUUAGGGAGGUUCUGUAUUAGGGAGGGUGCUCUCUGUGUUAGGGUGCUCUCUGUAUUAGGGAGGUUCUGUAUUAGGGUGCUCUCUGUAUUAGGGAGGUUCAAUAUUAGGGAGGGUGCUCUCUGUAUUAGGGUGCUCUCUGUGUUAGGGUGCUCUCUGUAUUAGGGAGGUUCUGUAUUAGGGAGGUUCUGUGUUAGGGUGCUCUCUGUAUUAGGGAGGGUGCUUUCUGUAUUAUAGUGCUCUCUGUAUUAGGGAGGUUCUGUAUUAUGGUGCUCUCUCUAUUAGGGUGCUCUCUGUAUUAGGGAGGGUGCUCUCUGUAUUAUAGUGCUCUCUGUAUUAGG